AACGCGUAGGAAUCUGCCUGGUAGUGGGGGACAACAUGUGGUAACGCAUGCUAAUACCGCAUACGCCCUACGGGGGAAAGGAGGGGAUCUUCGGACCUUUCGCUAUCAGAUGAGCCUGCGUGAGAUUAGCUAGUUGGUGGGGUAAAGGCUCACCAAGGCGACGAUCUCUAGCUGGUCUGAGAGGAUGAUCAGCCACACUGGGACUGAGACACGGCCCAGACUCCUACGGGAGGCAGCAGUGGGGAAUAUUGGAUAAUGGGCGCAAGCCUGAUCCAGCCAUGCCGCGUGUGUGAAGAAGGCCUUCGGGUUGUAAAGCAU
rnacentral:rRNA from 1 species